CCUACGGGAGGCAGCAGUGAGGAAUAUUGGUCAAUGGACGAGAGUCUGAACCAGCCAAGUAGCGUGAAGGAUGACUGCCCUAUGGGUUGUAAACUUCUUUUAUAAAGGAAUAAAACGAGGCACGUGUGCCUUUUUGCAUGUACUUUAUGAAUAAGGACCGGCUAACUCCGUGCCAGCAGCCGCGGUAAUACGGAGGAUCCGAGCGUUAUCCGGAUUUAUUGGGUUUAAAGGGAGCGUAGAUGGGAUGUUAAGUCAGUUGUGAAAGUUUGCGGCUCAACCGUAAAAUUGCAGUUGAUACUGGCUGUCUUGAGUACAGUGGAGGUAGGCGGAAUUCGUGGUGUAGCGGUGAAAUGCUUAGAUAUCACGAAGAACCCCGAUUGCGAAGGCAGCUUACUGAACUGUGACUGACAUUGAUGCUCGAAAGUGUGGGUAUCAAACAGGAUUAGAUACCCCGGUAGUC
rnacentral:rRNA from 1 species